rnacentral:lncRNA from 1 species
CUCAGUUCAACAUGCUCAUGAGGAGGACUUUGAAAGUGCUAUGGAUAAUUUUCUAACAAGGCACAACUACCCAGCAGGACUGAGACCAAAAAAAGAACCAUCUUUUAAAUGUUCUGUGAACAAGACAAGACCAUGGGAAUUGUAGUUGAGAAGAGGAAACAGACUGCAGGUACAUGCUGGGGGAACCGGGGCUCAGGGCUUCGCCCUGCUAUGUCUCUACUCACUCUCUGAUGAUCUCUCCAAGGGACUGAUGGGGCUUUCAGUCCCAUGCCUGUAUCAUGGCAACCCAUAUUUCUAUCUCCAGCCCAGCCCUCUCCAGACCUGUGUGUCUGCCCAAUCAAUCUCUCCACUUGUUUUUCUAAUGAACACCUCAAACCUAAAAUAUAUAACAUUAAGCUGUCUUAUCCCUCUACCCCAGCAUCUUCCAAUCUCAGCCAGCAGCAUCUCCGUUUUUCCAGCUGCUUGGAGUCAUCCCUGAUUCCUGUCUUUUUCUCAUACCCAAAAAAACAAUCAGACAGAAAAUCUUAUAUAUAUGUAAAUCUUCGCCCCGGUUGGAGUGCAAUGGCGCAAUCUCGGCUCACUGAAACCUCUGCCUCCUGGGUUCACGCUAUUCUCUUGCCUCAGCCUCCCGAGUAGGUGGGAUUAAGGGUGCACACCAUCACACCCAGCUAAUGUUUUGUAUUUUUAUUGAUUGAUUGAUUGACUGAGACAGAGUCUCGCUCUGUCGCCCAGGCUGGAGUGCCGUGGCGCCAUCUCGGCUCACUGCAAGCUCUGCCUCCCAGGUUCACACCAUUCUCCUGCCACAGCCUCCCGAGUAGCUGGGACUACGGGCACCUGCCACCACUCCCUGCUAAUUUUUUUUUUUUUUUUUUUUUAGUAGAGACGGGGUUUCACCGUGUUAGCCAGGAUGGUCUCGAUCUCCUGACCUCUUGAUCCGCUCACCUUGGCCUCCCAAAGUGCUGGGAUUACAGGCGUGAGCCACCGCGCCCGGCCUUUUAUCCUACUUUCAAAAAACAUACCCAGAGUCUGAGUGUUUCUCCUUACCUCCAGCGCCACUCCAUGGCCCGAGCUCUGUUUCACCUGGUUCUCACCUGGAUCGCGGCCUCCAAUUUGCGCAGUGACCCCUACAGUCUAUUCUCCAAACAGCAGCUGGCGUGGUCAUUAUGAAAAGCAAUGUCCACCUGCUGCUCAAAAACCCACGAAUGGCUCCCCAUUUCUUUCCCAUUAAAGCCAAAGUCUAAAACAUUUACAAAGCGUUAUAUGAUCAGUUCCUACCUGCUUUCCUUAUGUUGGAGGCUGUGAAGCUCCU